rnacentral:rRNA from 2 species
GGAAUCUUCCGCAAUGGACGAAAGUCUGACGGAGCAACGCCGCGUGAGUGAUGAAGGUUUUCGGAUCGUAAAACUCUGUUGUUAGGGAAGAACAAGUACCGUUCGAACAGGGCGGUACCUUGACGGUACCUAACCAGAAAGCCACGGCUAACUACGUGCCAGCAGCCGCGGUAAUACGUAGGUGGCCAGCGUUGUCCGGAAUUAUUGGGCGUAAAGCGCGCGCAGGCGGUUUCUUAAGUCUGAUGUGAAAGCCCCCGGCUCAACCGGGGAGGGUCAUUGGAAACUGGGGAACUUGAGUGCAGAAGAGGAGAGUGGAAUUCCACGUGUAGCGGUGAAAUGCGUAGAGAUGUGGAGGAACACCAGUGGCGAAGGCGACUCUCUGGUCUGUAACUGACGCUGAGGCGCGAAAGCGUGGGGAGCGAACAGGAUUAGAUACCCUGGUAGUCCACGCCGUAAACGAUGAGUGCUAAGUGUUAGAGGGUUUCCGCCCUUUAGUGCUGCAGCAAACGCAUUAAGCACUCCGCCUGGGGAGUACGGUCGCAAGACUGAAACUCAAAGGAAUUGACGGGGGCCCGCACAAGCGGUGGAGCAUGUGGUUUAAUUCGAAGCAACGCGAAGAACCUUACCAGGUCUUGACAUCCUCUGACACCCCUAGAGAUAGGGCUUCCCCUUCGGGGGCAGAGUGACAGGUGGUGCAUGGUUGUCGUCAGCUCGUGUCGUGAGAUGUUGGGUUAAGUCCCGCAACGAGCGCAACCCUUGAUCUUAGUUGCCAGCAUUCAGUUGGGCACUCUAAGGUGACUGCCGGUGACAAACCGGAGGAAGGUGGGGAUGACGUCAAAUCAUCAUGCCCCUUAUGACCUGGGCUACACACGUGCUACAAUGGGCAGAACAAAGGGCAGCGAAGCCGCGAGGCUAAGCCAAUCCCACAAAUCUGUUCUCAGUUCGGAUCGCAGUCUGCAACUCGACUGCGUGAAGCUGGAAUCGCUAGUAAUCGCGGAUCAGCAUGCCG